rnacentral:rRNA from 1 species
CCUACGGGUGGCAGCAGUGAGGAAUAUUGGUCAAUGGUCGGGAGACUGAACCAGCCAAGCCGCGUGAGGGAGGAAGGUACAGAGUAUCGUAAACCUCUUUUGUCAGGGAACAAAGGCGGGGACGUGUCCCCGGAUGAGUGUACCUGAAGAAAAAGCAUCGGCUAACUCCGUGCCAGCAGCCGCGGUAAUACGGAGGAGGCGAGCGUUAUCCGGAUUCAUGGGGUUUAAGGGGUGCGCGGGCGGUCUGUUAAGUCCGCGGUAAAAGCCCGGGGCUCACCCCCGGCCCGCCGUUGAAACUGGCAGUCUCGAGUUGGAGAGAAGUAUGCGGAAUGCGCGGUGUAGCGGUGAAAUGCAUAGAUAUCGCGCAGAACUCCGAUUGCGAAGGCAGCAUGCCGGCUCCACACUGACGCUGAGGCACGAAAGCGUGGGUAUCGAACAGGAUUAGAUACCCUUGUAGUC